GCCUUGCGGGCGCUGACGAAGGCGGGCAGCCCCCCGUAGAGCCAGCCCACCACGCCCGCCGUGAAGGCCGACUUGGCGAUGUUCACCGUCUCCUCCGGGAACUGCUGCUGCUCGCUGCAAGGGCCAGGUUUGUUCCCCUGCGAGAGAGAUGAGUUUGGGGGCUGUGAUGCCCGGUUUGCAUAGGACAGAGGAGAAGAAGCCCCCGGGCUUUGAAGACGCAAAUGCUGCACGGCGAGAUGGUGCCUCUCACUGCCUUCCCUAAAACAACUCAACUCCCUCUGUUGUGAAUCCUCCUUUCACCAUAGCAGCGAAAGCUCCCCACCAGGGGAGGUGCCUGGGUCUUCCCACCGAGCCUGUGCAUAUUUUAUGGGACUGGAAUUGCCGGGAUUCUUCCCCCACUUCUGCCCAACCAUCACUUUGGCCAAGGGCCGCCUAAGAGGCAAAUAUCAAUUCUCAUUGCAAGAUCUACAAAUGGAAAAGGUGAGGCUCUGCAGAUCUCUUAUUACUCUUCUGACGAAGCAACAUGCAGUCAGCAAAACUUCAUUUUUGUUUGUUUUAUUCUAAAAAACACUUUGUUACAAAUGGUUUUAAAA